ensembl:lncRNA
CUGGGGAGGGGAGUGGGGUCUAGUGGUUAGAGCAGGGGCGGGACUGGACACCUGGACUCCUGGGUUCUCUCCCUGGCUCUGGGGAGGGGAGUGGGGUCUAGUGGUUAGAGCAGGGGCGGGACUGGACACCUGGACUCCUGGGUUCUCUCCCUGGCUCUGGGGAGGGGAGUGGGGUCUAGUGGUUAGAGCAGGGGCGGGACUGGACACCUGGACUCCUGGGUUCUCUCCCUGGCUCUGGGGAGGGGAGUGGGGUCUAGUGGUUAGAGCAGGUGGGGUCUGGGAGGCAGGACUCCUGCGUUCUCUCCCUGGCUCUGGGAAGGGGAUGGGCUGUAGAGGUUUAGAGUCCUGGAAAGAACCCAGGAGUCCUGGCUCCCAGCCCUCACUUGUCCCCCGUGGUCUCCUCUCUGGAAGAACCCGCUCCACCUCGGAGCUGUCCCUGGUGCUGCUCCCGGCCCCUCCCCGUGGCCUCGGGGCUGGCCCGGCAGAGCCUGGGGGGGGGGGCAGAGCCGGCGGCAGCGUCCCACGCAGGAUCGCCUGGAUUGAGAGCCAGUGACGCGGGAGGCUCAGCGUGGGGCGGGGGGGGGGGACCAGCUGGGGCUGGGACAGAUCGGUCCUGGGCAGCCGGCGGCUGAGAGCUCCUCCCGCGCUCGGGAGCCAGCGAAGGGCAGGAAGGAGAGAGCGAGAGAAAGGAGGAGAGAAAAGCGAGGGAGAGAAGGAAGGAAGGAAGGAAAGAGGGAGAGAAAAGCGAGGAAGAGAAGCGGAGAGAAGGAAGGAAAGAAGAAGCGAAGGAGAGAGAAGGAAGGAGGCGAAGGGAGAGAGAGAAGAGAAAAGGAAACCGAGGGAGGAAGGAGAGAGAGACAGACCCCCCCAGGUGCCGGAGCCGGAGCAUGGUGCUGUGACCUGGCCCGGUCCCGCUCGCCGCCAUGCAGUUCAACAAGGAGGAAUUCCAGAAGUUGGCCGGGAAGACGCUGGGCCAGGUGCACAGGAGAUUUUUUGCGGGCCGCGCUGGGUCGUUUGCCAGCAGCCGACACCUUUCAGGGUCACGGGAGGCCAGUACGAAGCCGAAAGGCCGCUCGAUAUUUUUCCCUUCGCUGCUGUGAACUAGACAGCUGGGCCAGGGCUUAUCCUCCAGCCCGGCUCCCAAUGUGAAAUUGCUUCUUGUCGUGUGCCAAGGCCGGAUCCUGUGUGUGCCUGUCUCCCGGCCUCCCCCUGCUUGAGCGGAUGAGUCCUGCUCUGUGUAUGUGUGUGUGUGUGUCAGCGAGAGAGAGAGAAAUUGGGCCCAAAUUUCCCAAGAGAUUUAGGCACCCAAAGAUGCAGCAAGAGGCACCCUAGGGGUUUUGACAGCACCUCGGUGUCUGGCGACAGUCUCUGUUUCUCUCCAAAUCCCCAGCUCCCAGAGUCCUGGGAUUUUGUGAAAAUGUCAGCUUCCGUUUAAAAAAAAAUAGUAAUUGUUUUAGACAUUCUGGUUGGGGGAGAAAACUUAAAAACACGAUCCUUAGAGGUAUUUGGGGGGGGGGGGCACACACAGCUACCCCGGCACAGGAGAGCACACUG